AACGAGCGCUGGCGGCAUGCCUAACACAUGCAAGUCGAACGAUUGCCUUCGGGUGAUAGUGACGCACGGGUGCGUAACGCGUGGGAAUCUGCCCUUAGGUUCGGAAUAACAGCUGGAAACGGCUGCUAAUACCGGAUGAUAUCGCGAGAUCAAAGAUUUAUCGCCUGAGGAUGAGCCCGCGUUGGAUUAGGUAGUUGGUGGGGUAAAGGCCUACCAAGCCGACGAUCCAUAGCUGGUCUGAGAGGAUGAUCAGCCACACUGGGACUGAGACACGGCCCAGACUCCUACGGGAGGCAGCAGUGGGGAAUAUUGGACAAUGGGCGCAAGCCUGAUCCAGCAAUGCCGCGUGAGUGAUGAAGGCCCUAGGGUUGUAAAGCUCUUUUACCCGGGAAGAUAAUGACUGUACCGGGAGAAUAAGCCCCGGCUAACUCCGUG
rnacentral:rRNA from 1 species